rnacentral:tRNA from 1 species
GCAGUCAUGGCCGAGCGGUUAAGGCGAUGGACUAGAAAUCCUUUGGGUCUCCCCGCACAGGUUCAAAUCCUGUCGACUGCG